UACGGAGGGUGCAAGCGUUAUCCGGAUUCACUGGGUUUAAAGGGUGCGUAGGUGGGUUGAUAAGUCAGUGGUGAAAUCUCCGAGCUUAACUUGGAAACUGCCAUUGAUACUAUUAGUCUUGAAUACCGUGGAGGUUAGUGGAAUAUGUCAUGUAGCGGUGAAAUGCUUAGAUAUGACAUAGAACACCCAUUGCGAAGGCAGCUGGCUACACAUAUAUUGACACUGAGGCACGAAAGCGUGGGGAUCAAACAGG
rnacentral:rRNA from 1 species